AACCUCCGCAAUGCGAGCAAUCGCGACGGGGGGACCCCAAGUGCCACUUUAACGGGGUGGCUUUUCUUAAGUGCUUUUGGAUAAGGGCUGGCAAGACCGGUGCCAGCCGCCGCGGUAACACCGGCAGCUCAAGUGGUGGCCGUUUUUAUUGGGCCUAAAGCGUUCGUAGCCGGCCUGAUAAGUCUCUGGUGAAAUCCUAUAGCUUAACUGUGGGACUGCUGGAGAUACUAUUAGACUUGAGGUCGGAGAGGUUAGAGGUACUACAGGGGUAGGAGUGAAAUCUUGUAAUCCUGUGGGGACCACCUGUGGCGAAGGCGUCUUACCAGAACGGUUCGACGGUGAGGGACGAAAGCGGGGGGCACGAACCGGAUUAGAUACCCGGGUAGUCCCAGCCGUAAACGAUGCAGACUCGGUGAUGAGCAGUGCCGCAGGGAGCCGUUAAGUUUGCCGCCUGGGGAGUACGGUCGCAAG
rnacentral:rRNA from 1 species